GUGAGUGAAACGACUUGGGCUACGGAGCUCUUCCCCUUCGCUCUCAUUGGCUCCCUCAUCGAGAAAGAAAAUGCCAGACUAACCAACUGCAUUGUCUAAAUAUGAAACUUUCAGGUUCCCAUAGGAAGCCGUUUUUUCUCCUCCCCGGGACAGAAGAGAUGCCCAUAGACCUCAGUGGAGAGAAAGCCAUGAUUUUAACACAGAUGUGACUCCAUGGGCGGAAGUAUAUCCUUCCCCGUCGGCAAGUGGAUAGUAGAUCAUGUUAUUUCUAACUUGGGUUUUAAUUUGUGUACAAAUUAAUGCGGCUUUCAGCUGCUUUGACCUGCAGUUUACGGGAAGAGCCCUGUUGGAUCAAGCCCAAGGCCUAUAUAGUCCAGCAUCCUGUUUCCCACAGUGACCUACCAGAAGAUGCCUCUGGGCAGAGGUGCACCUAGGGUCUUUGAACACAAACUAUGAGCACACAAAUUAUGACUACACAUAGAAGUGGUGGUGCAACGCUGCUUGCGACUCAAAGGGGGAAAACAACAGCUGGGUGGUGCUUCAAGGAAAAUUUCUGGAGGGGCUCUAAGUCAAACUUGUCAAAACUAAGCCAGUUUAGCUCAACUGAUUUCAAUGUAAAUGGUCUUCAGUCAGAGACUUCUGGAUUACAGAUUGUAAAAUAGUGGCCAACAUUCUAAUGCUGUGCUUGUACAAUUAAUAUCGUUAUGCUAGCAGAGGAAGAUCAUAUAGCUGUGCUGAAUCAGAGAUUUUUGGGACUGCGUUAUUGCACAAAAGUUCCAUGCAAAAACAUUUUAGGUGAGCCAAGGUUGCACACCUUGUUUGUGCUGGUGCAACACUUGUUUGGAACACAAGCUCCGGACUCAGUGCAAGUAGCUAGUGCAACAGCCUUGCACUAGUGCAAUGACCUUGUGCAAGUGCAGCAAUAAUCAGGAUGUUGGCCAAUAGCUACUAGAGGCCAAUAGCUGUUGGCCAAUAGCUACUAGAGGCCAAUAGCUACUAUUACCAAUGGUUUUGCCUCUUCAGAACCUGACAACUUUAAUUAAAGAUUCUUGUGGUUAAUUUACUAGAAACUCAGUUGACUGGUGACUACAUUUAGCUGAACAAAUGAAACAAACAAUGAAGAUUCCUGACAAACUUGUAUUCUUUAAUCUGAAGAUGCAAAAGUCAAAGGAAAAAGUCAGAGAGAGCACAGCUGCCAAGAUCUAAAUAGGAACAGAUGCUGUCUUUAUUUGGGACAUGUGGAGAAAUAAAAGUGAUCAAAUAAAACAACUUGAAACAAACCAUACAGCUAUAGAACUGAGGAAGCAUCAUGCAUCAGU